UAAUACAUCCUUUCUGAUUUAAUUAAUCAUUAAGAGAGUGAUUGUGAUUUCUAUUGUCCCCUUCACAGGAAUCCAUGCAAAUGUAGACAGCAACCUGAACUCACCAUGGACAAAAAUAACAAGCAGGCAGUGUUCUCCUAAUAACUACUAUGAGCAAGCCAAGAUCCAGCUGUACCCAAAUAGAAAAGGAAAGGCCUUUAUUUCUUAAGUAUCAAUGACAUCAUCAAUAGCAAGCAAUUAUCACCUUCAACAGGACUGAGGCAGGCAAUGAGUACACCAUGGAAAGGAAACAGAGCAGUUCAGCUAGGAAUGCCCACUUGCAUCUGUGAGCACACUAAUACAUGUGACAGCACAAGAGGCAGGAGAGAGAGCGUAAGUGCCUCGGCCCGAGUUCCAGGUGGACCAGAGGUAAUACCAGUCACCCAUCCAUGCUGGCAGAAAGGCAGCAGAGGAAUACAAAACUGUACAAAAUGCUAAUUCUCAGUAUUCUGUUCCUAUCCCUGUAAUGUUCAGCUGUUCAUUAUUGUGCCCUAUGAUUGUGAU